GACAUGCACAGUGCACUAGAUGAGCCCAUAAAGUCCAAUAUUAACACAUUUUCCAGGGCAAAUAAUUUCAUGGAAAUCAGAGAGUCAUUACAUCCUUGGAAGAAAUUUGGAACAACAGUUGUUGGCAUGAUUGUGAUUCUCCUGAUGCACUGUUUUUAUGUGGGUAACGAGAAUAAACUAAGGAUGCAUGGCUUGAGGGAAAAUGGCAAUGUCAAGCCCAGGAGAAAGGCAGAGAGAAACAAGUGGAAUAAUGAUCACAAGGAAAAGAAUUUGCUGGUUAGCAUAAGAGGUGGGAAUCAAUUUAGUGUUUUCCUCAAGAAAUUUGGGCUUUUUUUAACAAUUUCUUUGGCUGUUUGUACCAUGUGGGUGAAUCAUGUCAUACUUGCAUAUUGAAUUCCUGAUUUUAUUCUUUUUUUUUUCUUCUUUAAUAUGACAAUAAAUAGUUGGUAGCUUGGGAGGUACAGCCUUCUCUAAUGCUGAAGACAGAUUUCUACUUUUAUAUUCAUACAUACUGAUGAUACCUAUAGUUCAAUAAUUGUAACUGAAUUAGAUUAA
rnacentral:misc_RNA from 1 species